UGAAGUGCAGCGGCUGAAUGGCUGGCGGAGCUCGUGAACUACCAGCGACAGUGGUGGCCCAGAAUGCCUCUCAGCCCCACAGUGGGCAACGUUCUGAAAGUGAACUUUCACCCUGAGCUGAUGACGUCAGUCUCCUGGCUACCAGCCCUCUGGAUGAAGUCCCCCCCCCCCCCAGUUAUUCUUUUGUUUGCUUUUUUAUUCACGCAUGUCAACGCUCCACCUGUAACGUGCUAAACACAUUUUCCAGGUCAGGGGAAUAUAAUAAAAGGAUGCAUAAGAAGUUGACCUCACCAGACUCUGAAGGAAACAUACAAAUUUCUUAUUACGGAAAGAGGGAUUCACCGAAGUGAUGAUGUUUGAGCUAGGUUCUGGAGGAAAGAACCGUGUGGGCAAAAACCAGGAAGGAACGUGAGGUGAAGACCCAAGGACAGGGGCAGAACUUUGUGUGCUGGCUGUAAAAGGAGGCAGGAUGGCUGGAGAUACAACUGGAACAGUAGUUGGGGAAAGCCUUGAAUUUGGGGAAUUGGGGCCGACCCUGGCCUUCUCCCCUUCCCUGGCCUUAUCCUCUUCCUCUCCUCUUCUCCUCUACCUGUCCCUGGGCACCCCACCCACAUCCUGGCUUCAGUGCUGUUGGUGCCAAAUCUCUCCUGACCUUUGGAUCCACAUAUCCCCCAACCUACUUGGACAUCUCCACAGGAUGUCCCUCAACAUCUCAAACCCACAUGUACACAAUUGACAGCAUCCCCCUCCAGAUUUGAUUCUCCUGUACUCCCCUUUUCAGCAAAUGCUUUCCACCUCCACCCAACUGCUCAAGCAAGAAACCUAGGGACCAUACUUGACUCCUUUCUCCCCUUUAUCCACUUACCCUAUCAGUCAUUAAGUUCUAGUGAUUCCACUCCCACAUAGCUCCCAAAUCCAUCUAGGACUCUUUUCUACCCCUCUCUGUGUUUGGAUGGUUACAGUUUCCUUCUCACUGUUCUCCCACCUUCUAGUCUUCACCCUCCAAUCCAUCUCCAAUUGCAACCAAAAGACUCUUUCAAAAAGGCUCCAGUGAAUCAGCAGCAUCUGUGCCAGCAGAAGGGCAAUACCCAUGGAUCAGGAUGAUUUCUGGAAGAGCAGAGCCAGAAGAGAGGCCAGUUUCAGGAGAGCUCCUCCAGAAUUCCUGAUGGAAACUUAGAAGAUGAGCGUUAGUGGGACGAACUACAGCCCCAAUUACUGUUCCUGUCCAGGGGCCACAACUAGUACUCAUUGCCUCCUUCAUUGUUUUCAAUCCUAAAUUCUCCUCACCCUCAGUUAGCAUCUCCUCUGGUCUCAGUGGCUUACCUGAAGAUAUGAGCCCCUGACCACCAUGCCUUCUCAGGCCAAGGUCACUGCACUUGUCCCCUUAUUGUCAAAAUCGAGCAAGAGAGUACUGAGAAGCAUUCAAACUGGCCAAGAUGAUGAUUCUCCUUCUUGCCUGUUGGUCCCUGCAAACAAGGUGCCCAAAGUGCUCAGGUAGUAGCUAUAGCUUAUAGAUCAAUAGUACUCUUGCUGUAUCCUCUGGUGGAAGAUUCCCCCUCGGGGGACAAAUAUCUCUAACCCUGCAGAGUCCAGAGUUGUGAGAGUUGGAAGCUCAAAUUCCACAGGUGCCCACUGAGAGUGAUGGUAGUAGGUCCCUCCUGAUUCUACCCCUUGGUUCCUGGGUCCAUGAAUUCUUCUGAGUGGGGACACGGCACCAUAUGAAAGUCUUUGAUUCAAGAUGUACAUGGUAUCCUGGAAGAUGAACCCCAUCCUCAUAAAGUAUUGCCUCCAAGCUGGUACUUCAAGAGGGCCAUUCUAAUGCCCUAUCAGGGAAGUAGCUUCUGGGUGGUCCCGUAUAUGACUAGAUGAGCAAACCCUGUGAUUAUGGACUCAUUCCUGAACCUCCACUUCAGUGAGUUGGGUCCCUGAUCUGACAUGAUGUUAUGUAAGAUCACUUGUGCUGGUGAAUGAAAUAUUCAAAAAGACCUCAGACAAUGGUGCUGGUUAAGAUCUUGCGGGCAGGGAAAGUAAACAGCAUCCAGAAUAUAUGUUAAUUCCUGUUAGGAUGAAUCAUGGCUCCUCCAUAAUGGAAGGGGUUCAAUGUAGUCAACUUGCCACUAUAUUGCCGAUUAGUCUCCUGAAUAGUUGUUAUUAUAUUGGGGGUAUAUUCAAUAGCAACAGUAGCUAAAAUUAGUUUUUGUAAGUGGGAGCCUAUGCUAUUACUCAUACUAGCCUCUGUCUCUGCUGCUGUAACCUCUUUAUUCACGUGUCCUUAGUGCCAGCACUGGGUGGCUGAUGACAGAGACUAGCUGAAGUCAUCUGGCCAAGUGAAUUUUGUUUUUCUUAGUUAUUUAGUGCCUCUUCCAUGGUGGAUGCUUUCUGGUGGGUGUCAACAUGUGAUACAAAGAUCUUCAUACUAGUGGCCUGGGUGGCUCAGUCAAUAAAGCACCGAUCUUGAUCGUGAUCUUGGAGUCAUGAUUUCAAGCCCCACGUUGGGUGUGAAGCCUACUUAAAAAAAGAUCUUCAUACUUUGUGGUGAUGCACCUAUACACCUAUCCAUCCUUGUGCUUCUAUCCCACAAUCCUUGUCCCUAAUCUUCCUAAAUUUCUUCUUCCAGGCCCUUACUAGCCAUAGAGUCUUUACCAUUGCCCCUGAGUUCAUAUAUAUUCUAACCUUGGGGGCACUUGUCUGUCCACAAAGUGGAUGCCCAGGUGCACCUCCUGAAGUUCUGCGCACUGAGAUCUUUCACCACUGUUUCUCAAGGCCACCGCUAAUUCAGGCUGUAUUGUAACUGCCAUCCAUUCUCAGCUUGAGGUCACAAACUGAGACAACUUUACACUAGCCAAAUACAGGAUUUUUCCUCUUUUCAGCUGGUUGUAAGGGAUCCUACAUACAGCCAUCAGUGUGAGCUGAGGAAGUGCUAUUAUAAUGGUGGUGUGAUGGCCUGGCAUCUGGGCUGCCUGCUCAAGCAAAACCUGUGUAAACCAUCUGUAAGCCUACAUGUGUUCAAUCCCAGAUGUGCCACUUCCACCAUAGGAUGGAUUGUUGCUGGCUGCCUGAUAUUAUGUCUUAGUAGGUUUGAUAGAACCUGGCUCAUAAGGUAGUUCCUGACAUGUGUUCACUUGGCAUCUCAAAAUCAGACCCAGUAGUACACCAGCAGUUUGGGUUUUUUUUUCAAAAGGCCCAUAAAUCUCUCCUAUAGAUGGCAUGGCAUUGCUCCAACACCCCAAGGACUUAUGUUGUGAUUCCCAGUGGAAAUUGCCAUAAAUUACACACAGCCUCUUUUUCUACCACUGAAAACACUAAUAUCAUGCAUACCAUCUAUAUGAUAUAUAGAAGCAUAUGGCCAAGUAGCAAGACUGCUUGCACCAAAGCCUGAACCUGCUGUAUAACCUUUUCCUUUCCUGAGUUCAAAUUAAAGCCUGUAGCUUUUUGCAUCACCUGGUAUAUGUGCCAGAGCAAUAUUCUUAGUGUGCAAUAUACUAUAUCCAGAACCCAAAGAGAACUACCAGGCAUUAUGCUUCCUUCUUCAUUGUAGGAGGUGCAAUAAUUUAUCAUUUUCUUUGGACAGGAUAUGUGGCAUGUCCUUGACACUGGACCCCUAAACAUCUUUCUGAUAGGACAGGCUCCUGAACUUUAUGCAGCUUAUCUCCCACCUCUGGAGUACAUGUGUCAGACCAAGGCCUCUAAUGUGCUGGCUGCAUUUUGUACAUCUGGCUGAAUUAGUAUGAUGCAAUCGAUGUAAUAGAUCAGUGUGAUGUUCUGUGGGAUGUCCGAACGGUCCUGAUCUCUGUGGCCGCAUUAUGAGAGAGGCUGAAAGUUAACAUAGCUCUGGGGGAACACCAUAGAUGUACACAUACUGGUUUAUGUCCCAUGUGAAUGCAUACUGUUUCUCAGCCAUUCUUCUCAUAGGGAUUAAAAAGAAUCCAUUCAUCAAAUCAAUGUCCACAUAAAAUGUAUCUAAGACUGUGUUGAUUUUUCUAGCAAAGAUACGAAACCUGGUGUGGGGGCUGCAAUAGGGCUCCUCCUUGGGUGACUUGUCUGGCCAUCUACUUCCACUCUCUAGGUUUCGUCUGAUUUGUGUGGGAACAAUACUGGUGAGUUAAAUAGAAAAAUGAUGGGGAAGGACACCUAGUUGGCUCAGUUAGUUGAGGGUGCAAUUCUAGAUCUUGGGGUUGUGAGUUCAAGCCCCACUUUGGGUGUAAAGAUAACUUAAAAAAAUUAAUAACUUUAAAAAAAAAAAGAAAAAGAGUAUGGAUUCUUUAGAUCCUUGAAGGUCGCUUUGCUGUAUGCUGCCAGAAAGGCCCUCUAGCUUUUAUACAUGGUUUCCAAUUGCCUGUUAAUUACUCCUAGUCUUUAAAAAAGAUUUUCCCUAAGGCCUCAGUGAAGCUUAGUAAUUGCCACCCAGUGCCAUUGUGCUGUUAGUUUCCCCCCUCCAUGUUUCUCAGGUGCCUGGUACAUUCCCUUCCGUAGGCAUACCAUCUCAAUUCACCACCAGUGAACAUUUUCACAACUGGACCAUCACUUUAUGUUACGAGCUAUCUGUGUUCCAGGUACUGGCAGUGAGGGGGUCCUCAGUGUGAGGCUAGCAAAGGGCAAUACAGCUCCAAAACCCCCAUCUGAUCACCAGCUUUCUCAGACCACUCCUACACUUCUACUUCUCUCAGAAGCAGGCUUUUCUCUUGGAACAAGAAACAUGAUGGCUAGUAGGAGGGCGCUCUUAGGAUGCACACAUGUGGAAGGUGAGACAGUAGCAGAAUUAGGCAGAAGGAGAAGCUGGGCUGAGGUGUAGGCCUGAACAAUAAUCCAAAGGAAUGUGAAUUUUCUGUUAUUGAAUUAGAUGGCAAUGCAUUGUGUUUAUUAUGCGAUAAAAUGAUAGCCAAAAAAAUAUGAUAUCUAUCGACUAAAAACUCAACACAACAUUCUUGACUCAUAGAACACCCAUCAGAAAAAACUAGAAAAUUUAAGAGAGAAUAUAUCUUCUACGUGAGAUAUUUAAAAGACUAUUUCAUUACAUCAGAACUUCUUCAAAAAUGUAGAGAAGGAAAAUGAAGCUGCAGCUGAAGUUACUGAGUCAUUUGUUAUCCGAACAAUAAAUGCCAUUUACUGAUGGUGAAUUAAUUAAAUUGGGUUUGAUUGCAUCAGCUGACAAAAUGUGUGCAGAGAAAAUUAACUUGUUUACUACUAUGAAAUUUGGGGGCAGAAGAGAACGUGGGAAGCAAGACAGCAAUCAAUUGAAAGUCAAAGCAGAUUAUUCCCUUGGCUUUGAUGAGUUAAUAGAUGUUACUGAUACUGCUCAGUCAUUAUUGUUUAUUCAAGGAGUCAACGCCAUAUUUGAAAUGAUGGUAGGAUUAGUCUCCAUCAAUACUCUGAAUGAACAGAAUUUUCAAAGAAGUUGAGGAAACACUAACUCAAUACAACCUGAAGUGGAAUCUGCAAAGAUGUAUUACAACUGAUGGUGGUAAAAAUAUGUGUGAAGCAGAAAGGACUUAGACAAAUGUAAAAGUUUGCAAAAAUGCAAGGUGUGCAAAGCCUAUAGGUAUUCACUGUGUUGUGCAUCAGCAG